rnacentral:lncRNA from 10 species
GAAAAAUUAGACUACAGUGUUAAGAAGCAAAGAUCCAGCAAGCUCUCAUCGUCCUGCAUAGUAAGAGUCUUCAGAACGUGGAAAGGAACUUCAGUGGCUUUUGCUGGGUUGGGCUGAAGGAAACCCCGGUGAAACCCACACCUGUAAAGAUGCUUCUCACAGUGGGACUUUUAUCGCUUGGGUCCUGGUCACAAUCAAUUUUUCUGCAAAUAAUUGGCUUUGCUUUUCUUGUGGUGAGUCUCUAAGGACAGUGAGUUCCGUUCUGGGGACUGUGAGUUCUAUGCUGUGUACAUGUGUGCUUUGGAGGGUGACUGGAAGCACCAUCGUUCCUUCCCAUACUUUCAGGCUCAGUUACCGCUUCAGUCUGGACUGUUGUGAACGAGAAUAUGGAAGUCAUUUUCCCCACAUUGUUUACCCAGCUUGCCUGGGAAACACCAACUGGAGGAUUAGAGUCCGGCUCUUCAGUUUGAACUCACUUUCCCUUUCUCUUCCUGGGACCACCCAGUGAUUCAGAGCCCUGCAUUCUGUAAUGAGAUUAAUGUCAACAGUUUCCUGCAUUGAAGAUUAUUUUCCCAAAGAGUUCACGAUUUCCUUCAGGACUUCUCCAUCACCCCAGUGUCUGGCUACCUAAUGACUGAUUAACAGGUUGAUUUUCUAGAAAACUCAAAUUACAAUUUCUUUUUUUUAAAAAAGGGCAAUCCAGCCUUUUCUCUGAUUAUCCGUCCUCCCCAUCUCCCACUUGUCCUAUGUUUUAGCCACACAGGCUGUUGUCAUCCCCUAAAAGUGUGCUUCUGAGUCUCCAGGCCUUUGAUAAAUUGUUCCCUCCUCCUGAAAUGCCAUUCACGCCAUCUGCCUUUUGGAAUUCUGCCCUUCCCUCGGAAUCUAGCCCAAGUCCUAUCUCCUCUAAGAAGGGACUUUUCUAGAUUGAAUUAAAUUUCCUUCCCUGGCCCUGCAUAGUGGCCGCACCCAGUAGACUGUGAGUCUACUUUUUUCAUCUUUUAUUCUUACAAGUGCCUGGCCUCAUAUUUUGCACACAGUAGGCAUUUGCUAUACUUUAAUUACUAGUAA